CCUGCGGAAGUUGACUCUCGGGACCACCCGACCUCUUAUCUCUUGCUUACUCUCCCUCGCCUGCUACAUCCUAUAAUACCAAAAGUUACACUGAAAAACUCUAUUUUAUCUCCAACUGGAGCAACAACACUGUUGGUUCCACUGGAGGAUGAUGAAAUUCUAGGAACACUUGGAGUUCACAUAAAGAAACUCAUUUUUUAACUUUAAAUGGUUCAAUCGCAGAUGCAGAUGGGAAGCAUGUGGUCAUGUAUAUAGCACAUGUGUGUGAAUAUACAUAGACAUAGAUAGAAUGUACAUUCAUGUGAAUAUUGGUAUUUAUCUAUAUUGAAUAUGUGGUCUUCUGUAAAGCUGGGUUUGGCCCCAUUGCUAGAAUAGAACGCUUGUGAUGUAUGGUGCAUUAUCAAAAAGUCCGAGGGUAGAAAAGCGGAUGCAACGAGGGACGAAAUAGAAAGCCUGAAAAAUGUGUAACUAUGGAAAUACAAAAGAAACGGCGAAUAAAAGAGUCAUUGAAGAAAAAUCCACCCUCUUUAGGACUCAGGUAUACGUCGAUGAGCAAGGUGUAAUUGGGACUUUUAAUAUCCUUACUGGUAUUCUUUCGUAAGGGAGAUUUAAAACCUCUGUCAUGAAGGUCUGGUUGUACGAGUGGGGAAUUAAAGAGCAAAUCAAGUGAAGUAGAAGAAGACCAAUAGAAAAUGAUGAGUGCGAAAGAACGAGUGAAAGCAAGCAUUCAAUAGACGAACACAUUCUUAUCAUACCCUAC